GAUGAACGCUGGCGGCGUGCUUAACACAUGCAAGUCGAACGGAAAGGCUCCUGCUUGCAGGGGUACUCGAGUGGCGAACGGGUGAGUAACACGUGGGUGAUCUGCCCUGCACUUCGGGAUAAGCCUGGGAAACUGAGUCUAAUACCGGAUAGGACGAUGGUUUGGAUGCCAUUGUGGAAAGUUUUUUCGGUGUGGGAUGAGCUCGCGGCCUAUCAGCUUGUUGGUGGGGUAAUGGCCUACCAAGGCGUCGACGGGUAGCCGGCCUGAGAGGGUGUACGGCCACAUUGGGACUGAGAUACGGCCCAGACUCCUACGGGAGGCAGCAGUGGGGAAUAUUGCACAAUGGGCGCAAGCCUGAUGCAGCGACGCCGCGUGGGGGAUGACGGCCUUCGGGUUGUAAACUCCUUUCGCUAGGGACGAAGCGCAAGUGACGGUACCUGGAGAAGAAGCACCGGCUAACUACGUG
rnacentral:rRNA from 1 species